GCUCCUAUCGUCUAGUCUGGUCCAGGACACGGCCUUCUCAAGGCUGGAACUCGGGUUCGAAUCCCGAUGGGAGCACCG
rnacentral:tRNA from 1 species